CUCAAACUUUACUGAAAAAUAUGGAAUGUUUUGUGGAGUAGAAAGCUGUGCUCGUGUCAAGAAAGAAGUUCAUUCAAAUGUAGAAAUUACUCUGAACAAAAAAGCAGGCCUAACUCCAACGGUCUGGAUAUUACUGUCGAAACAAAAAUCACAGUGAUGGAGCUGUUGCAUUAUAGAAUAAAUUCAUAAGUAAAUUUUGAAAAUUCAGAUCCUGUAAAUGGCUGCAAUUAAAUAGCCAUUUUAUAUCCUCAUCAUCUUCAAGUACUCUGCGUUGACA